rnacentral:rRNA from 1 species
AACGAACGCUGGCGGCAGGCUUAACACAUGCAAGUCGAACGCUCCGCAAGGAGAGUGGCAGACGGGUGAGUAACACGUGGGAACGUACCCUUUACUACGGAACAACUCCGGGAAACUGGAGCUAAUACCGUAUGUGCCCUUUGGGGGAAAGAUUUAUCGGUAAAGGAUCGGCCCGCGUUGGAUUAGCUAGUUGGUGGGGUAAAGGCCAACCAAGGCGACGAUCCAUAGCUGGUCUGAGAGGAUGAUCAGCCACAUUGGGACUGAGACACGGCCCAAACUCUUACGGGAGGCAGCAGUGGGGAAUAUUGGACAAUGGGCGCAAGCCUGAUCCAGCCAUGCCGCGUGUGUGAUGAAGGCCUUAGGGUUGUAAAGCACUUUCACCGGAGAAGAUAAUGACGGUAUCCGGAGAAGAAGCCCCGGCUAACUUCGUGCCAGCAGCCGCCGUAA